UACGGAGGGGGCGAGCGUUAUUCGGAAUUAUUGGGCGUAAAGGGCGCGUAGGCGGCUGAACAAGUCAAAGGUGAAAUCCCUCGGCUCAACUGAGGAACUGCCUUUGAAACUGUUCGCUUGAGGCCGGGAGGGGGUAGCGGAAUUCCCAGUGUAGCGGUGAAAUGCGUAGAUAUUGGGAGGAACACCAGUGGCGAAGGCGGC
rnacentral:rRNA from 1 species